rnacentral:rRNA from 1 species
UUGAAAAAAUUGAUUAAGUCUUCGAUCGAUUAGUAUUCGUCAGCUCCACGUGUCACCACGCUUCCACCUCGAACCUAUUAACCUCAUCAUCUCUGAGGGAUCUUAUAACCGAAGUUGGGAAAUCUCAUCUUGAGGGGGGCUUCAUGCUUAGAUGCUUUCAGCACUUAUCCCGUCCAUACAUAGCUACCCAGCUAUGCCGUUGGCACGACAACUGGUACACCAGAGGUAUGUCCAUCCCGGUCCUCUCGUACUAAGGACAGCUCCUCUCAAAUUUCCUACGCCCACGACGGAUAGGGACCGAACUGUCUCACGACGUUCUGAACCCAGCUCGCGUACCGCUUUAAUGGGCGAACAGCCCAACCCUUGGGACCGACUACAGCCCCAGGA